UACCCGUGACACUGUAUUCUCAGGCUGUUGAGCUUUACCAAUUUUAAGAGUAUGUGCCUUGGGAGCGGGAGUUGGGAGCAUCUUAGAGGAUCUUCCAGGCAAAACAUGCUUGGUUUUUAUUAAUGAACUUACACAAAAAGCCAACCCAGACCUUUAAGUGCAAUGUGUGAUUGGUAGCCAGGCGAGGAUGGGUUUUGGAAUUAACUCUUCCUACAGUCUGCUAUGCAUUAUCACCCCCAAGUUAAUUACCCCUGCGGAUGAAAAUAGGUUUCAUGACUCAUAAGCACCAAUACAACACUUGGCAGCAGAUGAAAAUGCAAGGACACAUUUGCAGGAAGCUGACAUGAAUAUCUAUUUAUAUGUGGGGAGAUUCUUAGAGGUGAGGCAGGCACCUCCCAUGUACCAGGAUUAAGAGGCUGCAGCAGAUCCAUCAAUAUUGCCACUUAUCCACACCCACACACACACACGCGAGUGCGCGUGCACACAGAGUCCUGGUUUCCACCACUUCAGUGAUGGCAGUGGCAAAGCAGGAAAAGAAACUAAAAGGGUGUUAUUAACAAGUUCCGACACCAGCCCGGCCUCCACACCAGAGUUCUGGGCGAACCAGUGAUUUGUUUCUCCCCAAACGUGCCUGUACCCAUCCCCACCUCCCAGUCUUCCCACUCCUUUGAUGGGAGUGGAGUGGGGGAUCCAAGUUUCUUAAUAGUCCUUCAGCCUUGGAGGGGACCAACAGGGCCCAGCUCGCCCCGCCCAGGAAUGAGAUGUGGCCAGGAAUCAAUUUGACUGGAUUGCCGGGUUUUGUUUUGCUUCCUCCCUCCUGUUUUCUGCUCUUCUAUUUGCCUCCCAGGAAAGUACAAGGUUCAGAUCAGGUUUGUUUGCCUUCCCCUACCACUGGGAGGACUCCAGGCUGCUCUCAGCCCACGAGCAGGGGCUCUGCUCUAAAGGGCAGUAGUCUUCUCUCCGCUUCCCCGCCUCUCUGCACCUCACAAACGCCGCCAAAAGCUGAUUAGAUGAAUAAUUGCAUUGCUUCACCAGCAGGAAUGGAUUUUUAUUUGAUGUUGGAAGUAAACCUUUGCUUCAGGAACUAAGUUUGGGGUUUCCCCCCCUCUUCCUCAUCCUCAGAAACCCUCUCUAAUCAACUAAGUCUUUAGAAUUAUUUCUGCCUUUAAAAAUAAUUAUUUAAAAUACAAGAAAGAAAACUUGUAAUGAAUGAGGUGAAAACUGGUUUUCCAAGGAACCAGCCUGAAGCUACUGCGGACUCUCCAAGGCUGAGUGUAUGCAUUUGCUCCCAGCUCUGUGGCAGUUUUGUUUUAAAUAUGCAGACUGAUGUCUGUCAUAUCUAAGAAGCAAAGCAUCCUAGCUUUUCUCCUAGACUUUUUCGCCCACUUGUCAAGUCACCAGCUGCACUGGGUGUCAGCCUAUGUUCACCGCCACAGGGCGAGGCACCAGAAAGCAUUCUUGACAAUGCCAUUUGCAGCUGGGCCCGCAUCCGGGGGAAAAUAGAGAUGCUGAAGAGUAAACCGAAAUCGCUUAGUCAGCAACUGUCGCCUCCCCAAGAGGUGAAUUUAAAUAGCCUGGUACCGAGGGGGAGGGGCAGCAAGGGUCUCUCUCCUUUUUCACUUUAACAUCCCCA
rnacentral:lncRNA from 1 species